rnacentral:rRNA from 1 species
CUCCGGUGGAUCCCGCCGGACCCGACUGCUAUCGGAUUGAGAUUUAGCCAUGCGAGUCGAACGUCCCCCUGUUGCGGGGGGCGUGGCGUACGGCUCAGUAACACGUAGUCAACCUGCCCUGGAGACAAGGACAACCCCGGGAAACUGGGAUUAAUCCUUGAUAGGUCAUCUCAUCUGGAAGGAGAGAUGGCUUAAAGGGGUACGCGGGCUUCUUCCGCGAAUCUGCUCCAGGAUGGGACUGCGUCCGAUCAGGCUGUUGGCGGGGUAAUGGCCCACCAAACCUGUAACCGGUACGGGCCUUGAGAGAGGUGGCCCGGAGAUGGACACUGAGAGAAGGGUCCAGGUCCUACGGGGCGCAGCAGGCGCGAAACCUUCGCAAUGCGCGAAAGCGUGACGAGGUUAAUCCGAGUGACUCCCGCUGAGGGGGUCUUUUGUCAGCUGUAAAUAGGCAGGCGAAUAAGGGGAGGGCAAGCCUGGUGUCAGCCGCCGCGGUAAUACCAGCUCCUCGAGUGGUCGGGGCGAUUAUUGGGCCUAAAGCAUCCGUAGCCGGUUCCGUAGGUCCUCUGUUAAAUCCAACCGCUUAACGGUUGACCUGCAGAGGAUACCGCGGGACUAGGAGGCGGGAGAGGCGGACGGUACUCCGCGUGUAGGGGUAAAAUCCUUUGAUCCGCGGAAGACCACCAGUGGCGAAGGCGGUCCGCCAGAACGCGCUCGACGGUGAGGGAUGAAAGCUGGGGGAGCGAACCGGAUUAGAUACCCGGGUAGUCCCAGCCGUAAACGAUGCUAGCUAGAUGAUUCAUUCGCAAGUCGCGAAUGAAGUGUCGCAGGGAAGCCGUUAAGCUAGCCGCCUGGGGAGUACGGUCGCAAGACUGAAACUUAAAGGAAUUGGCGGGGGAGCA